ACAUACUACUCGUCGAGUCUGUUCUUCGGACUCGACGAGUUCGUGCCAUGCACAAACUCAAUACAACUUCUGAGGUUAGAUCUGUUCCAUACAAUCAUAGAUAUGGCCUCCCCAAGCAUGAUAAUCAAGUAAAGUUCGGACCUUGACACACAUAUAACAUAUAAAUGGUCCAAAAUGAUGAUUUAGCCCCAAAAAUGACAUUCCAAGCUCAUGGCUCCCAAAAUGACUCAUAAAGCUCCAAGGGUUAAGGUCUCUGGACCUCUUUGGGUCCAGAUCCAGAACACAAACUCGAGANGGACCUUGACACACAUAUAACAUAUAAAUGGUCCAAAAUGAUGAUUUAGCCCCAAAAAUGACAUUCCAAGCUCAUGGCUCCCAAAAUGACUCAUAAAGCUCCAAGGGUUAAGGUCUCUGGACCUCUUUGGGUCCAGAUCCAGAACACAAACUCGAGAAGGGACCAAAUACUCCACUUAAUCAUCCUCUAAAAGGGUUAGAAAACCCUAACACUAAGAAUCAACACCAAAACUGAAGAAGGUCC
rnacentral:lncRNA from 1 species